UAUACGGUGCGGAUGCCCAAUGCUUUGUGAUACACUCUCGAAGAGUCGAGUUGUUUGGGAAUGCAGCUCAAAUUGGGUGGUAAAUUCCAUCUAAAGCUAAAUAUUGGCGAGAGACCGAUAGCGAACAAGUACCGUGAGGGAAAGAUGAAAAGCACUUUGGAAAGAGAGUUAACAGUACGUGAAAUUGUUGGAAGGGAAACGCUUGAAGUCAGACUUGCUUUUCGGGGUUUACUCCGGUUGGCAGGCCAGCAUCAGUUUUCCGGGGCGGAAAUCACGGUUAGAAGGUAGCAGUUUCGGCUGUGUUAUAGCUUUCCGUUGGAUACGUCCUGGGGGACUGAGGAACGCAGUGUGCUUUUAGCGAGGGCUUCGGCCCUUUCACACUUAGGAUGCUGGUGGAAUGGCUUUAAACGACC
rnacentral:rRNA from 1 species